rnacentral:rRNA from 1 species
GACGAACGCUGGCGGCGCGCCUAACACAUGCAAGUCGAACGGAGUCAAGAGGAGCUUGCUUUUCUUGACUUAGUGGCGAACGGGUGAGUAACGCGUGAGUAACCUGCCCUGGAGUGGGGGACAACAGUUGGAAACGACUGCUAAUACCGCAUAAGCCCACGGAUCUGCAUGGAUCUGCGGGAAAAGGAUUUAUUCGCUCUAGGAUGGACUCGCGUCCAAUUAGCUAGUUGGUGAGGUAACGGCCCACCAAGGCGACGAUUGGUAGCCGGACUGAGAGGUUGAACGGCCACAUUGGGACUGAGACACGGCCCAGACUCCUACGGGAGGCAGCAGUGGGGGAUAUUGCACAAUGGGGGAAACCCUGAUGCAGCGACGCCGCGUGGAGGAAGAAGGUUUUCGGAUUGUAAACUCCUGUCGUUAGGGACGAUAAUGACGGUACCGAACAAGAAAGCACCAGCUAACUACGU